CAAAGGGUCGCCAACCCGCGAGGGGGAGCCAAUCCCAUAAAGCCAUUCGUAGUCCGGAUCGCAGUCUGCAACUCGACUGCGUGAAGUCGGAAUCGCUAGUAAUCGUGGAUCAGAAUGUCACGGUGAAUACGUUCCCGGGUCUU
rnacentral:rRNA from 1 species